AAGAUGAACAAGGGUCUUACGGGUUUGGGACGACAUGAGGGUGAGUACUUAAUGACAGAAAUUUCAUUUUUGUGUGAACUAACCCUUUAAUGACAGACAUUAGAGCAACAGGUUUAUUAGGCUGACCGCCAUGACGCAGAUCACAACUUCAUCUCUUACAAGUUCAUUUAAAAAGACGUUAUUUAACUCAUUUAAGACUGCUCUUUUGAGGAUAAACCAGGACAAAAAACUGGCAUUUCGGCAUAAUUAUGUGUGUUAUUGUUUGUUUAAACUUGAAAGAGAACUCGAAUACUGGCGCGCGUCUUUCUGUGCACGAGUCGUGUGUGUGUCAGACAGACACUACAUUCACAGACAGCGCGUUCUCGUUAGUCUUGUGGCCUUUGGAUGCCUUAGCAUUUGCGUGAAUAAGAGCGUGAACAUAUAAUUUAACACUAGCCAAAUUAGGACAGAAAAAACAGAUGCUGCGUUAAUUCUGUUAAAUAUUUUUAACAUGUUUAAACUGAAAAAAAAAAUCGCAUGCGUUAACGCUCUAAUUUUGACAGCACUAGUUCAAAUACUUUUGGUUUUCAUUUUGAACAGUAUUAGAUCUAUUUUAUUUAUAAUUUAAAACCUAACAAACAAAAUAUUUGACUUAAAGUUUGUUCAGGUCAGGCCUAAAUACCAGGUGCUUUCAUAUAUUAUUUUGUCAUCUAAUGCAAUGACAUUAGUACAUUUUUUUUUUUUUUUAAUUUGGCUUAAAUGUCUAAAUAGUUUUUGGGCCACUGUUUAUUGUAUCUAUAAUAUUUAUUUAAUUCUCAUUCAGUUGCAGUUCCUGUUUCCUCAUCUCAAGCUUAGACGUGUUAGAAGGGCAACAAGCUGGUUUCUCACAUGGGCAUCUGCAGUUCCGGGUUGACAAAACACUCAGUGACAUGCAGGUGCCCAGUCAGAAGGCAAUUACCACAACAAAACAUGUUUUUUACUUUCAAUUUUCAUUUUUGUAAGCUAUAAAAUGUCUCUCAGUGAGGCUUGCCAUGUUGCAACUGCAAGGACAGUUUUAUUAAAGUAUUUUGAUCUGACAGCAUAUUUCAUUAUUAUUUUUUAUUCUGUUCCUUGCUGUGGCAAACUGUGAAACUGAGGCACAGAGAGCUUUUUUGGUUAAGCUGUAAGUGAAACACUUUUGCAGUCUGUUAAUCAAGACUGAAUGUGAAGUAAAUCUAAUAUGUAUAUACCUAAGGAAUACAAUUUCUAUAUAAAGCAAAAUGCAUAUAUUGAUGGAAAAGCAGCAGCAAAGAUUUUUCAGAUUUGCUAUAAAUUUUAAAAAUAGCAAAAUUGUUCAAAAUUGCAAAAAACCAAGGACACAUGCAAUGUUUGGAUGUUUAAGUUCAAUAUAUAUAUAUAUAUAUAUAAAAAAAAUCAAUUAUGCAUAUUAAUUAUGCAUUUAAUAUUUACCUUACUAAUUAUAGCAUGUGUCCUCUUUUAUAGCUUACUGUUUUUAUUGCUAUGGCAUUGCCAAUAAUUAAGCAUAUAAGCUCAAAAUAUGAUGCAACAACUCUAAAAGCUAAAGCUUAAGGCAAAAGUUCUCAUUGUCAAAAUCGUCAUCGUCAUAUUGCAGAAUAGAUGUAUUCAGCAAUACUUCUGAUGACACCGGGUUUUUUUUUCUUUCUUUCUUUCUCUUUCUUUCUUUUUUUUCCUUCUUUGGUGUUGCAUCAAGAAUGCCCUUAGCACGCCUUAGAGAGAAUGAAAGAGUUCUUGUUAUGUUCACUUAGAAGGCUUGCUGUUGGCACUUCCAAAUCAAGCCCACAGUGCCCCCUGGUGAGAGACAGUGAAUCAGCAAAAGAGACAAAAAGUGUGUGUAUCAUCAUUACCACAAAUAAAUGCAACUACUUCUACUAAGGCAACCAAAACAGAGUCUCUACUUCUACGACAGAUAUAUUGCAUGCUUGCAGAGGAAGAGAGAGGCUGUGUAGCAUGUACAUCAUGUGGGGGACGUUGACAGUUAUAUAUCCAUAUACAUCCACUUAUAUAGAAAGAAAGGCGACACUGAUAUCAAAAAAUAAAAGGAUGAUUAAACACUGUGGAUGAUUACUCUGUUUUUUCUCUUUUCACCUGGAUUACUGUGCCUUUUCUUCACCGUGCACCACCCCACCCAACUUUACCCAUUCUCUUAAACAUUUAAAAGUGAAAAAAUGUAAAAUAAUUCCUAAACAAAAUGUGAGAAAAUUGCAUUUUAGUGAAAAAGACAAGAAAAAAACAAACAAACAGAAAAUUUGUUAUGAAAUUUGUAUAAUUUGUUUGUUUAUAUUACAUUAAAUAUGAGAUUAUUGUUUUUAGUAUAAAUACUAGUUCAUAGUAUAUGGAUCCAUUUUGUUUAGAACUGUCUCCAUAACUGGAAAUGUUUUAUAUAUUAAUAUUAAUUAUGAUUUAAUGAUAUAAUAAUAACAAUUUUGUGGUUGGCACAAUAUUCCAAAUCUUCUAAAGCCACACAAUUUUGUGUGAGGAUCAGACUGAAAUUUCAGCCAUUAUUGGCUGAAAGUUUUCAUAGAUCUCAAAUUCAAUUCAAACUUGGCACGUCACAUUAGCUUUUCUGUUAUUGAUAUCAAAUGACAUUAGUUUUGUGACUUAUUUAUAAGACUUGGAAUAUAGCAGAUAAAUGUUUUUUUUUUUUAAAUCCUUUUUAAAGCUUGUCAGCCCUUGGUCAAAUGGAGAAAAGCAACUUGGACAUUCCACUAAACAUCUCCCUUUUGUGUUUCCAUGGCAGAAAGAAAAUCAGACAGAUUUGGUACAACAUGAGGAUAAGAAGAAGGCGGCUGAUUGAACCAAAGCAGCCUACACAAUCCUAGACCAGCCCAGAAAGUGGGAAAGAGGCUGUUUUUCUUUGUUGGCCCUUUUAGAAGCACGCAAUGAGAGAGCUGCCUUACCUGUAGGUUCUUCCUCCAAACAUUGACGGCCGCAAAGGCUAGCUGCAUCUGCUUCCUGCGGGCGUCUUUAUGGCGCUUAUAUGCAAUUUCGAUGAAGAUGAGGAAGAUGCCUGCUGCAAUGCCUCCAGCAACUAGCAUGAAGACACCUGUGAACGAGAGGAAUGAAGGAGACUGUCAGACAAUUAAUGGAGACACAGUACUCUUUGAAUCAACCCAUUGAGGAGCUGGAGGGGGUGGAGCCUCUGUGUGAUGGAAUCCUACAUGUAUUGCCCUUAUAUUUAGGGCCUGCUGCUGAAAACCAUGCAAAAUGGAUGGAUGUUAAAGGUUAAUGAGUUUGUUACAAAUGUGAACACUAACACAGGUUUCUCUGUACCUGAAAUGGACCAUACCUGCCAUAUUCUCAAAGGUGAGUGUGGCUGGGGCAUUGCUCCUUGAGUCACACUCCUGGUAUCUCACCCAGGUUUUAUCUAGGUCCUCCAUGAAGCCAUUCUCAUGGGAACUGCAA